GAGUUUGAUUCUGGCUCAGGACGAGCGCUGGCGGCGCGCCUAACACAUGCAAGUCGAGCGGAGAUAUGUAAGGAGUAAUCCGAGCAUAUUUUAGCGGCGGACGGGUGAGUAACGCGUGAGUGACCUGCCUCUUACAGGGGGAUAACGUACCGAAAGGUACACUAAUACCGCAUAAGACCACAUGGCCGCAUGGCCGAGGGGUCAAAGGAGCAAUCCGGUAAGAGAUGGGCUCGCGUCCGAUUAGAUAGUUGGUGAGGUAACGGCCCACCAAGUCUGCGAUCGGUAGCCGACCUGAGAGGGUGAACGGCCACAUUGGAACUGAGAGACGGUCCAAACUCCUACGGGAGGCAGCAGUGGGGAAUAUUGGGCAAUGGGGGAAACCCUGACCCAGCGACGCCGCGUGAAGGAAGAAGGCCUUCGGGUUGUAAACUUCUGUUCUUGGUGAAGAGGGGAAGACG
rnacentral:rRNA from 1 species